UACAGAGGUCCCAAGCGUUGUUCGGAUUCACUGGGCGUAAAGGGUGCGUAGGCGGUCGGGUAAGUCUGAUGUGAAAUCUCACAGCUUAACUGUGAAACUGCAUUGGAUACUAUCCGGCUAGAGGAAUGGAGGGGAGACUGGAAUACUUGGUGUAGCAGUGAAAUGCGUAGAUAUCAGGAGGAACACCGGUGGCGAAGGCGGGUCUCUGGGCAACAACUGACGCUGAGGAGCGAAAGCGUGGGGAGCGAACAGG
rnacentral:rRNA from 1 species